GGUAGCGUGGCCGAGUGGUCUAAGGCGCUGGAUUAAGGCUCCAGUCAUUUCGGGGGCGUGGGUUCAAGUCCCACCGCUGCCA
rfam:Danio rerio chromosome 4, GRCz11 reference primary assembly.